GGUUUUAUAUUUUAUUUAAAAUAUUAAAUUGCAAAUUUAAAGAUACAUGAUUAGUGUUAAAACUU
rnacentral:tRNA from 1 species